UGGUUUCUGGAAUCCUUGAUGCAAUGCAUUGGAAGUGCAGAUGGGGCAGGCUUCACCUUCAUGUCAGACAGGCAGAAGGGACUGGUUGAAGCUCUGUCUGAAGUUGUGCCUAAUGCAGAGACUAGGUUCUGUGUUAGGCACAUUUGGGCAAAUUUCAAGUUGAAGUUCACUGGAUCAGUUUUCAAAGAGCUCUUUUGGAGUGCUGCAAGAGCAACAACAUUUGUUGAGUUUCA